UGAACAUGUUCUUGGGAUAUU
ensembl:piRNA 21ur-13285 ncRNA